rnacentral:rRNA from 1 species
AGUAACGCGUGAGGAACCUGCCUCAAAGAGGGGGACAACAGUUGGAAACGACUGCUAAUACCGCAUAAGCCCACGGCUCGGCAUCGAGCAGAGGGAAAAGGAGCGAUCCGCUUUGAGAUGGCCUCGCGUCCGAUUAGCUAGUUGGUGAGGUAACGGCCCACCAAGGCGACGAUCGGUAGCCGGACUGAGAGGUUGAACGGCCACAUUGGGACUGAGACACGGCCCAG